rnacentral:lncRNA from 1 species
UGCAGAGCAGGACUAAUUCUGUGUUCUGCACUGGGUGAGGCAGGUGCAGUUGCCACCUGGGCUUCGAUCUGGGUCCCAGAGGAGUUAGUUCAUAUCUUGGGGCCAUCUUGCAACUGCAAUCCCAUUUUGAAGCCAGGUAGCAGAGUUUGUGCUCAUAGUCAUUUAUUCUUUUUAACUGUUUCUGUCUUUUAUUCUCCUUCUGUGUUUUCCAG